AUUGAACGCUGGCGGCAGGCCUAACACAUGCAAGUCGAGCGGAUGAAGGGAGCUUGCUCCUGGAUUCAGCGGCGGACGGGUGAGUAAUGCCUAGGAAUCUGCCUGGUAGUGGGGGAUAACGUCCGGAAACGGGCGCUAAUACUGCAUACGUCCUGAGGGAGAAAGUGGGGGAUCUUCGGACCUCACGCUAUCAGAUGAGCCUAGGUCGGAUUAGCUAGUUGGUGGGGUAAAGGCCUACCAAGGCGACGAUCCGUAACUGGUCUGCGAGGAUGAUCAGUCACACUAGAACUGAGACACGGUCCAGACUCCUACGGGAGGCAGCAGUGGGGAAUAUUGGGCAAUGGGCGAAAGCCUGAUCCAGCCAUGCCGCGUGUGUGAAGAAGGUCUUCGGAUUGUAAAGCACUUUAAGUUGGGAGGAAGGGCAGUAAGUUAAGACCUUGCUGUUUUGACGUUACCAACAGAAGAAGCACCGGCUAACUUCGUG
rnacentral:rRNA from 1 species